rnacentral:misc_RNA from 1 species
GCUUGCCUUGUGUUGAUGCGGCUGUCCACUUGUUGAUGGUUGAGUGUAUUGCGCAUGGUAUUGAGGUUAGUUUAUUUGUUCCUUGCCUUGUGUUGCCUUGCCGUGAGUUGCUUGCUACUUGUUGUCCAUUUGGUUGCCGUGGGACACUUCUAAGUUGGUUUUGACUUGUUGCCGUGUGAACCUCUUGGUGGUGAGGGUUUGGAUAUAACCUUGUUGCCGUGAGCUCCUUAGUGUUGAGUUUGGGAUUAUUGUGCGUGAGGUUGCUUGGGGUAACUUGUCAUUGCCGUGGGUUCCAUUCUUGUUGCUUGUGGUAUUGUUGGAUUCGGCCAUUGUAAUUCUUUGUUGUGAGAAUUGUUGUUGCCGUGGGACUCUUGUGCGUGAAGUUGCUUGUGGGAGCUUGUGAUGCUUAAAUGAGGUUCGGCCAUUGUUGAGUUUGG